CCUUAGAUCAUAUACCCAAAGUUGGUUGUCAACCUUUAUUCCAACAUCUCUUUAUUGUAAUCUGGUUGACUUUAGUUCCGAGGCCUUAGAUCAUAUACCCAAAGUUGGUUGUCAACCUUUAUUCCAACAUCUCAUUUUUGGUGCAACUAACACAACCAUUAUUUGUGGUAAGUUGCUUAAUGCACUCCCUGUGCCAUUAGGGAAAGCGGCCUUCAGUACAUUCUCCAGAACCAUGUAAGCAUUUGUGCACACAUCUAGUACGCACAACCAAUACAAAAGGAUACAACAACCACCUAGCCUUUCAGUCUCAAA
rnacentral:lncRNA from 1 species